rnacentral:rRNA from 1 species
AACGAACGCUGGCGGCGUGGAUAAGACAUGCAAGUCGAACGAGACUUUCCGUUGUAGCAAUACGAUGGAAAGUUUAGUGGCGAACGGGUGCUUAACACGUGGGCAACCUGCCAUGAAGUGGGGGAUAGCUCGCCGAAAGGCGAAUUAAUACCGCAUGUGAUUAGAGAGGACAUCCUUUCGAAAUUAAAGUCGGGGCAACCUGACGCUUCUUGUGGGGCCCGCGGCCUAUCAGCUAGUUGGUGAGGUAACGGCUCACCAAGGCUUUGACGGGUAGCUGGUCUGAGAGGACGACCAGCCACACUGGGACUGAGACACGGCCCAGACACCUACGGGUGGCUG